rnacentral:rRNA from 1 species
UACGUAGGGUGCGAGCGUUGUCCGGAAUUAUUGGGCGUAAAGAGCUCGUAGGCGGUCUGUCGCGUCGGUCGUGAAAACUCGAGGCUCAACCUCGAGCCUGCAUUCGAUACUGGGCGGCUAGAGUCUGGUAGGGGGAUCUGGAAUUCCUGGUGUAGCGGUGGAAUGCGCAGAUAUCAGGAGGAACACCGGUGGCGAAGGCGGGAUCCUGGGCCAGUACUGACGCUGAGGAGCGAAAGCGUGGGGAGCAAACAGG